rnacentral:tRNA from 1 species
CUUUUUGUAUAAUAAGGGUUUUGAAAGCCUUUUCGGGUCAAUUCUUGACCACCUAGU